GGGAGGGAGGGAGGGAGGGGGGGAGAGAGAGAGAGACUUUCCCCCAGCUACCCCCACCCCUUUUUUCUUUUUUUUUUUCUCCGAGGCUGCACUUUGGGAGAGGUGCAGUCAUUCUUACCCACACCCCCUACCCUCUCUCCACUCCCCCAACUAUAAAUUCCCUUCUGUAGCAUGCUGCCCUUUUGUAAUCCACAUUUGUGUUUCAGAUCAUGUAGAAAGGACAGAAAGUGAGCAGGGAGCGGGGGCUUUUGUCUAUUGUUCUCCUUGUGCUACUUGAGAGAAACUGCAAUCCCAAGACUUAAUAGAACCUAAAAAUGCCCAUUUGUUAUACUUUGAGAUACCACUGCUGACAAACUCCUGAUUUUAAGGAUAUGCAUAUAAAUAUGGUGUUCUCUGAGAAGGACUGUCUCAGAAUCAGCAGGACAAAGGCACAAACUGGACAAAAGCAGCUCUUGGUCUGGCAUGAGAAAACUCAUACCUGGUUGAUAAUUACCAAGCCUGGUACUGGAACUGGAAUUGGAGUCUCCUUUAUGGAGACUGGAGGCUACUAAACUGAACACAUACGCAUAGAGGACCCAUAAUUCCCAGUUUUCAAGUUGUCAGUGUUUCAGGCAGAACUGCAUGUUGCUGUAUAGCAGUGUCUCAGUGAAUUACAGUAAAUCUUAAGUGGACUUCUCUAUGCCAGCAUCUUUUUUUCCAUUCCAGAAUCUUCCUCCAUUUGGCCAGGAUCUAAGCCAUGAUUCUCCAGCCCUUCACCAUUGCUCCCAAGGCAGAGAUUUAAAGUCCUUUGUCCAUUCAGGACUCUGAUUUAUCAGCCAAGUUCAAUGAUUUGGUUAAGCCAGAAGAUCUUUCCAACCAGCCGUGGGGAUGGGGAAUUUCCAAAGGGAAAUCUCCCCAUCUCGAAGGAAGUGAAUCGCAAGAAAAGUGAGGUGGAGCGCCUGGCUCCAGCAAGUGGCUAUGGACAACAUUUCACCAAAAUCAAUUACCUCUACGCUUUCUAAACAUUAUUUCUCCAUUCAUAUUACACAUGGUGUAUGGGUUUGAUGAGGUCAUGGUGUCAUGUAUUGGAAAUUGUUUCUGUGUAAAUCAUCAAGUGUAAGAAGAAACUAUGGGACUCUGAGCCUUGCUUUAGAGAAUAACAGUGGAUAAACGUGUACCAUAAAAAAAUAGUUUUUAACAUUCUAACUCAAGCGAAAGCUCUCAGAAUUUCACACUGUGAAUCCAUGUUUACAAACAUUACAGGUGGGCCCUCAGGCCUGGUUCUACCACAGCAAUGUCUUUCACUGCUCAAACUCCACAGCUCACACACAACUGGUAAACCACUCUCUCCAUUUCCACCAACCCAAACUGCUUCUUGCAGAGGCUGAGAGUCCCCUUUUUUUUCAUUUAGAUGUAACAAGCCUAGUAGUUUAUUUUCAUUGAUUGUCUAUAUAUCUCUAUAUUUUAUCCAUGUACUCUUUUGAUGUAUAGAAGUAGUAUGAAACUCAUGGUUUCCUUGUGGUAAGUGAUCGUGAUGCUGCCACGGGAUUUGAGACACUGAUGAAUGGUGCUAUUUUGGACUUUAAAUAUGCUCCUUGGCAAGGUAGCUCUGAUGGAGUUAUUUUUUAUUUCCAUGUUCUGAGAAGGUGUUGGUACUUUGUUUUUCUGAAUGUUGUUCUUUAGACUGGACUGACUUGUUUACUUGUGUCUUCAGUGUGGCUUUCUUAUUCAGUGCUGUAGGUGAGUAACUACUUAUAGUGUACAAGUGAGGAACUGAUUCCCUAUCAGUGUCCACUCACAAACAUGCAGUUAUAGUGGGAGCAAUCACAAAACUGUAAUUUUCGUAAAAUCUCCUUUCUGACUCCUAUCCACCUUAUGGAGAAAGAUGAGCAAUAAUUUUCCACCAACUUCUCAAAAUCUCUUGAUUUUUGUCUUUUUUUCUUACAAGCCUUUUUAAAAGAAGGGACAAGUUUUAAUGUCCUCUUCAAAUCCAUAAACUAGGGGAUAUAGUAAGAAAAAUACAGCAAAUUUCUGGGAAGAGAAGUCCUAAAGGGGAAAGUGUACAUUUCCACACUACUAUCUACGUGGACUUUACAUUUUUGUUCUUGCUCCCAAACUACUAUCAAUACAAAAUAACACAAACCACAAAACUAAGCAGUAUCAUCUACUCAUGGAGUGUUGUUGUGUUAGACACAGUCUGAAAGCCCACCUUAAUUUUUUAUAUAAUUCUGUCUUUUAGCUCUUCCUUUUACAGGGCAGGCCUUGUUCUGAACUGUCUUAGCUUCUGACUGUUAAAUACCAAUGCAUGCACUGCACUUCUAGAUUUCUUUCCUUUCCCUACCUUCUGUAUCCCUUUCCUUGUACACUUUAUUUUCCAAUAGAAUAGAUAUGUCUGCUGUGCUGUAUAUAGAGCAAGAAGUAAUAUUCAGCAGUUGUGGCAUUUAUGUAUAGUUGCAGUUGUGUACUGCUGAAAAUGCAGGCUUUUGUAACAAUGUGAUCUUUAAUAAUGCAAGUACCCAAUGUAUUUUAGCUAUUUUAGUAGGAUUUGUUCAAUAAAUAUGCAAGCUCUAA